UAGGAGGAGCAGCUACUAGUCUAGGGCU
rnacentral:piRNA from 1 species